UAGAACACAUUGAAAAGGACAGUCUUUGUCAAUAGCCUUUAAAGCGAGCGGGAAGUGGUGUGAGCCCGUGAGGAGUGACUUAGAAAAUCCCCUUGGAGUGAAGGGCUGAAUUAAUAGUAAGCUUCGUUCGGUUUGUCCCCGUUACAAGACACCGAGUGGCUAGUUUUGGCGACAAGGGUGGUACCGUGAGUAAUAAUCUCGCCCCUUUU
rnacentral:ncRNA from 1 species